AAAACAUUGAUUCUUGUCUGAUCACAGAAGUUAAGCAAUAUUGAGCCUGGUCAGUAUCUAGAUGGGUGACUGCCUGAGAAUAGCAAGUGCUGGAAG